rnacentral:rRNA from 1 species
UACAGAGGUCUCAAGCGUUGUUCGGAUUCAUUGGGCGUAAAGGGUGUGUAGGUGGCGCGCUAAGUCGGGUGUGAAAUUUCGGAGCUUAACUCCGAAACUGCAUUCGAUACUGGCGUGCUUGAGGACUGGAGAGGAGACUGGAAUUCAUGGUGUAGCAGUGAAAUGCGUAGAGAUCAAUGAGGAAGACCAGUGGCGAAGGCGGGUCUCUGGACAGUUCCUGACACUGGAGACACGAAGGCCAGGGGAGCAAACGGG